rnacentral:rRNA from 1 species
GAUGAACGCUGGCGGCGUGCCUAAUACAUGCAAGUCGAGCGAAGCGGGGACGGGUGAGUAAAACGUGGAUAACCUCCUAUAAGACUGGGAUACAUCCGGGAAACCGGAGCUAUACCGGAAACUUACAGUUGGAUCCGCGCUGCAUUAGCUAGUUGGUAAGGUAACGGCUUACGAAGGCUACGAUGCAUAGCCGACCUGCGCGGUUGAUCGGCCACACGGGAACUGAGACACGGUCCAGACUCCUACGGGAGGCAGCAGUAGGGAAUCUUCCGCAAUGGGCGAAAGCCUGACGGAGCAACGCCGCGUGGGUGAUGAAGGUCUUCGGAUCGUAAAACUCUGUUAUUAGGGAAGCGGUACCUAAUCAGAAAGCCACGGCUAACUACGUGCCAGCAGCCGCGGUAAUAC